CACCGGCGGCUCGAGUGGUGGCCCCUUUUAUUGGGUCUAAAGCGUCCGUAGCCGGCUUGGCAAGUCCCCUGGGAAAUCUGGCGGCUUAACCGUCAGGCGUCCAGAGGAUACUGCCAGGCUUGGGACCGGGAGAGGUGAGAGGUACCUCAGGGGUAGGGGUGAAAUCUUGUGAUCCCUGUGGGACCACCAGUGGCGAAGGCGUCUCACUAGAACGGGUCCGACGGUCAGGGACGAAAGCUGGGGGCACGAACCGG
rnacentral:rRNA from 1 species